AAGGGUAUAGCUCAGUGGCAGAGUGCAUGCUUAGCAUGCACAAGAUCCUGGGUUCAAUCCCCAGUACCUCCA
rnacentral:tRNA from 1 species